UACGUAGGGGCCUAGCGUUGUCCGGAAUUAUUGGGCGUAAAGAGCUCGUAGGCGGUUCGGCAAGUCGGAUGUGAAAUCUCCACGCUCAACGUGGAGGGGCCAUUCGAAACUGCCGUGACUCGAGUCCGGUAGGGGAGUGUGGAAUUCCCGGUGUAGCGGUGAAAUGCGUUGAUAUCAUUAGGAACACCGGUGGCGAAAGCGGCUCACUGGGACUCUUCUGACGCUGAGGCACGAAAGCUAGGGUAGCGAACGGG
rnacentral:rRNA from 1 species